rnacentral:lncRNA from 1 species
AUAUGACUUCUAAUUUAAUAAUAUAGAUACCAAAUUAUAUAAGAGUGAGUUACUAUAUUAGAUACUUUUGUCUUUUUGACUACACAAUUGGACACGUAAUGCUUGCAAGACACAAUUUAUGAUAUCGAGGUGUUUUUUUGACAUGCUUACCCUAUAUGUGAGUUAAGUAUAUUGCUUAUAGUCGGACAAGGAAGAAACUCGUUAGCUCAUUUUUUGGUUUGUUCAUUAAAUUUGUUAUUUUUUACUUUUUCUAGGUUUGCUCUUUUUUUUCUCCACCGCGGUUUCCACCCUCGCCUCUUUCACCACCAAUGCAUCCACAACCAUCUACCACCACUCA